UCUCUCUCUCUCUCUCUCUCUCUCUCUCUCUUGAAUAUGGAAUAUAAAUCUAUAACUUUGGGGUAGACGUAGCUCCUGAGGUAAACUACUGGAGAGGAAUUCUGUGGAUACGUGACAGGUAAUACAAUAGUCACUCUUGCUAGUUUUCUAUAGAGCGCGUCGUUUCUCACGCGUACGAAACAGGUACCGUCAUCACAAGCACGACUGUCAACAGGCAGAUAUGAAAAGGUUUCCCUCUCCUGUGUGUAAUACUUUGAAGGUUUCGAGCGUGGAGAAUCGUUAAAUCAAGAGCAGGUACCGCCAUAAAAAAUAAGACAUCAGAAAAUUUCCUUCCUCCGUGUGCCAUGCCUUGAAAGGCUAUACAUGUGCUAAGGACGGUACGCACAGACGGUACA